rnacentral:rRNA from 1 species
UACGUAGGGUGCGAGCGUUGCCCGGAUUUAUUGGGCGUAAAGGGCGCGUAGGCGGCUACGCACGUCCGUUGUGAAAUCGCUCGGCUCAACUGGGCGGGGUCAGCGGAUACGGUGUAGCUGGAGCAAGCUAGGGGGCAAUGGAAUUCCCGGUGUAGUGGUGGAAUGCGUAGAUAUCAUUUGGAACGCCAAUGGUGAAAACAGCUCGCUGGGGGUUUGCUGACGCUGAGACACGAAAGCCAGGGGAGCAAACGGG